UUCAGCCGAGCGCACAGGAGAGCUGCCCGGUGCCCCCUCCCAGCCUGCACCCAACCCGCCGGCCCGAGGGGCGCCCGCAGCACGGCCGGCAGGAUGUACCAGGGCCACAUGCAGAUCAAGUCCAAGCAGCAUGUACCUGAAAGGAACAACUUACCUCCAAAUAAUCACUGCUUGCUCCUGCUUCAAACCAUUCUGCUCUCAGCAGAAGCACAUGCUGGUUUUGUAAGCCCUGUUUCCAGUGGGAUGGCACGUUAUGUGAAGAGAGCACCACAACCACGUAGUGUGAUCUCUGGGGUAAUACAAACCAAGGAACGUGACAGUGAUUCCUCAUUCAAGUCAAGAGUGCGUGUUCAGAAUACAUCUGCUGGAAAGCCAAGCAAUGUCAAAGACAACAAGAGACAGACAAGCUGCUGCAGCCCUCGGUGCGUGCACAGUCAAGCAGUAUGCAGCAGUUCAUUUCAGAUGCACACAGUAUAUUUUCAGCACUAUUACCUGCUUUGUCUAAUUAGUGUUUUUCCUAAUUUCAUAACCGGCACUAACCAUGUGGUAAUAAUUACUUAG
rnacentral:lncRNA from 1 species